UAGGGAAUCUUCCACAAUGGGCGAAAGCCUGAUAGAGCAACGCCGCGUGUGUGAUGAAGGGUUUCGGCUCGUAAAACACUGUUGUAAGAGAAGAAUGACAUUGAGAGUAACUGUUCAAUGUGUGACGGUAUCUUACCAGAAAGGAACGGCUAAAUACGUGCUAG
rnacentral:rRNA from 1 species